rnacentral:rRNA from 1 species
UGGGGAAUUUUGGACAAUGGGCGCAAGCCUGAUCCAGCAAUGCCGCAUGCAGGAUGAAGGCCUUCGGGUUGUAAACUGCUUUUGUACGGAGCGAAAAGGUCUGCCCUAAUACGAGAGGCCCAUGACGGUACCGUAAGAAUAAGCACCGGCUAACUACGUGCCAGCAGCCGCGGUAAUACGUAGGGUGCGAGCGUUAAUCGGAAUUACUGGGCGUAAAGCGUGCGCAGGCGGUUAUGUAAGACAGAUGUGAAAUCCCCGGGCUCAACCUGGGAACUGCAUUUGUGACUGCAUGGCUAGAGUACGGUAGAGGGGGAUGGAAUUCGGCGUGUAGCAGUGAAAUGCGUAGAUAUGCGGAGGAACACCGAUGGCGAAGGCAGCCUCCUGGGCCAGUACUGACGCUCAUGCACGAAAGCGUGGGGAGCAAACA